rnacentral:lncRNA from 1 species
GGAAUCCUACUCCAAGUAGGAUUCAUAUUUUAAGUCCAAUUAAUUAAUUCCCAGUGUUCCUUCUUCAACUGAUUAUCAAUCGAAUUGAUUACUCGUGAUUCAUAAUCACUAUUCAACCAUCGGAUCGGUCAAUACUUCUAGUGUGUGUGACCCCAUAGGUUCUAUUCCGACUGGUAGUGAGAUAUAUUGUGAUCUCUAUCACAAUAUCAUUGAAAACUCCUUUCAAUGGGUUGGAACGAUUCCAACUCAACUUAUUAGGAUUUAUCGAUCAUCGAGAGAAUCCCUAUGAGUCCCAC